UUCACCCAUAUUUCGUACCUGUUGGUUCCAAAUGUUCUUGCUGUUCAGUUUGGCUUACCUCAGGACAUCUAUUUUUGCAGUAGUGAAGCGGUGCAUCACGUUCAUGCACAAAAAGAAUGCAUCAAUUCUAAUAGCUUCACGUCUUUCAUCUAUUUGCUUGUGAAAUCAGCAGUGUGAUCUCUUCUAGUGUAUAAACGAGCGCACAAAUGUUCUUAUUUGUGAUCUUAAUAAUACUUAAGCUGUUGACAUGCAUUGUAGUUACGCAGACAUCGAUUUUACGGAGAGUAACCAUAUUUAUUUACCAUGCUGCUUAAGCGCCCUAGAACAAACAGUGUACAUUUGCAUGUGUUCUGUAGUCACAAACCGUUGCAAUGUAUAUGUCGCACCGUUUCGCAUUUUAUAUUGCAAAAUUGUGCUUAUUCAAUUUCUGAUGCAGUCAAAAUUUCUGUUCCAGACAUGCAGUAAUGCGGAUGGCACCAGUAUAAAGCAACACACUCCAUGCACUAAACAGAAGCUGCUGCCUGCUACAACAAGGUCAUUGUGUGGACUUUGGCUGCUACUACAAGAGUCUGUGCCAAGUACAUCUUGGUCAUCACGGGAGCCCCCAUCUACACCAACAGGAAGGGGCUGGAGCUGAAUUCACAAGACCACGAACAAAGAAGCCAUUCCAGAAUUAUUUGGAUGAGAUAUCAAGUCUACGGAUGACUGUUUCAAGAGUGAAAAGAGCCUACGCCAUCAUUCCACCAGCACGGAUAUUGGCCGAGUCAUCCAGGUACCUCAACAACAAAAAUUAUUUGUCUUCAGAUGUACCUGCAACCUCUGAACAAGCACAGACGACGCUGGCUAAGAGUGUUCUGUCAGCUUGCCCUUCCUUAGGGAGCUCCCUGGCCUUGCCAAUUCUUGCCAAGUAUAAUUUUGUUUCAAUGAAUGCACGCUUCUUCAUUCCACACUUUUGUUAGAGAUCAUUCCUAUUCCUCAUACAAACAUUAAAGGUCAACCGAUUCUUUGCUCAUA